rnacentral:rRNA from 1 species
CCUACGGGGGGCAGCAGUGGGGAAUAUUGGACAAUGGGGGGAACCCUGAUCCAGCCAUGCCGCGUGUGUGAAGAAGGCCCUCGGGUUGUAAAGCACUUUCAGUGAGGAAGAACGCCUGGUGGUUAAUACCCAUCAGGAAAGACAUCACUCACAGAAGAAGCACCGGCUAACUCCGUGCCAGCAGCCGCGGUAAUACGGAGGGUGCGAGCGUUAAUCGGAAUUACUGGGCGUAAAGCGCGCGUAGGUGGCUUGAUAAGCCGGUUGUGAAAGCCCCGGGCUCAACCUGGGAACGGCAUCCGGAACUGUCAAGCUAGAGUGCAGGAGAGGAAGGUAGAAUUCCCGGUGUAGCGGUGAAAUGCGUAGAGAUCGGGAGGAAUACCAGUGGCGAAGGCGGCCUUCUGGACUGACACUGACACUGAGGUGCGAAAGCGUGGGUAGCAAACAGGAUAGAUACCCCAGUAGUC